AAUGAACGCUGGCGGCGCGCCUAAUACAUGCAAGUCGAGCGAGAAGACGUAGCAAUACGUUUGUAAAGCGGCGAACGGGUGAGGAAUACAUGGGUAACCUACCCUUGAGUGGGGAAUAACUAGCUGAAGGUUAGCUAAUACCGCGUACGCUUCCUGGACUUCGGUUCAGGGAGGAAAGCGAUGCCGAGGGUAUCGCGCUCUUGGAUGGGCUCAUGUCCUAUCAGCUGUUGGUGAGGUAACGGCUCACCAAGGCUUCGACGGGUAGCUGGUCUGAGAGGACGAUCAGCCACACUGGCACUGCGACACGGGCCAGACUCCUACGGGAGGCAGCAGUAAGGAAUAUUGCGCAAUGGGCGAAAGCCUGACGCAGCGACGCCGCGUGGGGGAU
rnacentral:rRNA from 1 species